CACAUAUAACCCUCUCUCACACACUUGACAUUGACAAAUGACAAAUAAUAUCCUUCAAACUCAAAAUGGCGACACAACAAUAACAAGACAAAUAACAUAACUUAUUUUCCCAUAAAUUGUUUCUUACAUAGUUAUCACAUAUAUAAACCCAAAGUACAACAGAACAAUAUACAAACUAUUUGUGAUUACAUUGACUAUUGGUGCUAAAGAUUUAACUUAGAAUACCGUAGUAGUAUAGGUCAUUUGUGAAUAAAGAAUUAUUUGUAAACAGUGAAACUGUGAAAUACAAUUUUAUACCUCAUUGCUUGGGUCGAGGAUAGGCGAGGGUGCGUUGGGGCGAGG
rnacentral:misc_RNA from 1 species